UUCUGUAGGCGGUCUCGUCAGUCAGAGGUUAAAUCCCACGGCCUAACCGUGGAACUGCUUUUGAUACUGCGAGACUAGAGGGAGCUAGGGGGUAACGGAACCUAUGGUGGAGCAGUGAAAUGCGUUGAUAUCAUAGGGAACACCAAGGGGUAGCCAGUUACCUGGGGCUUUUCUGACGCUGAGAGACGAAAGCUAGGGGAGCGAAA
rnacentral:rRNA from 1 species